UCGGGAAUCUUGGGCAAUGGGCGCAAGCCUGACCCAGCGACGCCGCGUGGAGGACGAAGCCCUUCGGGGUGUAAACUCCUUUAAGCAGGGACGAACGCAGACGGUACCUGCAGAAUAAGCCCCGGCUAACUACGUGCCAGCAGCCGCGGUAAUACGUAGGGGGCGAGCGUUGCCCGAAUUUACUGGGCGUAAAGCGCACGUAGGCGGCUCCGUAAGUCUGGUGUGAAAUCUCACGGCUCAACCGGGAGGCUGCACUGGAUACUGCGGAGCUCGAGGGCGGGAGAGGAGAUUGGAAUUCCCGGUGUAGCGGUGAAAUGCAUUGAUAUCGGGAGGAACACCAGUGGCGAAGGCGGAUCUCUGGCCCGCUUCUGACGCUGAGGUGCGAAAGCUGGGGGAGCGAAAGGGAUUAGAUACCCCUGUAGUCCCAGCCCUAAACGAUGGGCGCUAGAUGUCGGGGAACACUCCUCGGUGUCGUAGCUAACGCAUAAGCGCCCCGCCUGGGAGA
rnacentral:rRNA from 1 species